rnacentral:rRNA from 1 species
GACGAACGCUGGCGGCAGGCCUAACACAUGCAAGUCGAACGAGUGGCGGACGGGUGAGUCAUGUCUGGGAAACUGCCUGUUGGAGGGGGCGACCUACUGGAAACGGUAGCUAAUACCGCAUACCAUCAAAUGUGCCCCGAUGGGAUUAGCUAGUAGGUGGGGUACCGGCUCACCAAGGCGACGAUCCCUAGCUGGUCUGAGAGGAUGACCAGCCACACUGGAACUGAGACACGGUCCAGACUCCUACGGGAGGAAGCAGUGGGGAAUAUGGCACAAUGGGCGAAAGCCUGAUGCAGCCAUGCCGCGUGUAUGAAGAAGGUCUUCGGGUUGUAAAGUACUUUCAGCGGGGAGGCGUUACCCGCAGAAGAAGCACCGGCUAACUCCGUGCCAGCAGCCGCGGUAAUUC